rnacentral:lncRNA from 1 species
AGACAAAAGCUGCUUUCUUGGUGAUCCAGUGGAUGUUUGAGGGUCUUCUGGAAGUGUAGAAUACACACAAACAUGCCUACAGGAAAUUAUGGCAUCUUUCUGCUUUUCUGGAUAACCAAGGUCAUAUCUUAACCAGCACUGCUCUUCUCUUGGCUGGUGUGAAUGUUCCUCCUCAGAAGAAACCCUGGCUUGAACUUGACCUGCCCAGAUUCCAGAAGAAGGCAGAGGAAUCCCAGGAGAGGAGGAGAAAAGCAUUUCCUAAAUCAGACAAACAGCACAUCUGUACUGCAAACUCAGCUUAGGCUCAGAUUCCUUUCCAUAGCUAGAGAGUGACUUUCCCCCCCAAAGCUGCUGGUGCUUUAGAUCAUUUGAUCCGGCCAUCAUGGCAUUGUGGGCAUGCUCCAGGCUUUUGCUUUCCCUUGGGCUGAAAACACACCCAUUUUGAAAGAAACCUAAACCAUAGGUGGGACCCUCCUGUGCCUGCUUGCCAUCCAUCCUCCCUUCUCCCUCCCCACCUGCCUCUUUCCUUCACAUCUCUUCAAGAUUUUGGUGGAGAUCUUCCAUGCAAACACCUAGGUGGCACAUAUCCUUGGAGGCAUUGGUGACCUGCAGAGCUGGACAUCCACACAAGGAUUUCUGCUUCAUUAACCAAACUGCUCCUGGACCUGUGUGUGCUCACUUCCUACACCGUGCGGGGUCUCUGGAUAACCUGAAGGAUGUGACACCCCUGCAAGGUAUGGAGCACAAGCCUUGGCAUUACCUUUCUGGAGACACUGGUGAUAUGAGCUGUGAACAGCUGGCACAGAGCACAGACAUCCUGGGCAUGUGGUUUGGCACUACACCUUGAUGGGUAAAAGGUGGAAGUCUUGCCUGGAAUGAGAGGUAGGACAUUCGGCAGAGAAGGAGUUGCCUGAUGUGACCAAGGACAAGAUUGCACAGCUGCUGAUGUGACUCUGGGCACAGCUGUCUGUUCUCUCCAUACAGUCAGCACCACUUCUGUCUGUGACCAUGAAGAGACAGACCCACAACUACACAGAAACUCAGGAAAACCCAACUCAUUUGGGAUUUUACAGGAUGUGAAGAAAAAUGGUGUGAGAAAGAUGGAGAGUAGUAGGGUAAACUGGACAGCUGCUGACACUGCUGAAACUGUGCUGGAUCUUUUAGGGGUUUUUGGCCUCAGUGAGAAUUGUAUCUGCAACCUAUGAGCGCAGCAGGUCUAGACAGGUACAGACCUUUCUCAGUGAGUUGAUUUUCCACUGAAGCCAAACUGUCCAGAUCACCCCCCACACAAAUCCCAACAUAAUUCUUAUUUUCCUGAUAACCCAGAUAAAGUUUUGACUCCUACAAGGGAUUUGACUCCUACUGGGAGAUUUCAAUGCCUUGUCACAAAAUGCACAGCUCUGCAAAGUAUCCAUUCUGAAGCAGUUCUGCCAAAUACCAAAUGAAAAUUGCAUAACAUGAGAAGGAGAAAACCGCAGCUGAAGCUUCAUCAUCCACAGUGGCAGCUGAGUGUGGACGUCACGAGUUCUUCCAUACCCAAUGGCAUCAUUUCCAUUUUCUUUGGACUGUAGUAGUGAAAGAAUAAACAUUUCAAAAGGUUCA